ensembl:lncRNA
CGGGCAGAUUUUUCAGCUAGCUCUGUUACCGCGUACUCAGAAUAUGCAGCGCGCAUUUCAAGGAGGAGGAUUACCACUCAGGGGAUGCCAAGAUGGUCUCACUUGGUUUAAAGAGUAAGAGGACGGCGAAGUUAAUUCCUACCGCCGUGCCGUCUGUGCAUGCAAACCACUCUGCCUGCCCUGUCCCGAGGUCGAGAGACACCGUCUGCCGCAAGCGAGAGAUUGCCACGAUGUUGACAGACGCCUCACAGCAGGAGACCGUGGCCAGUGUAGACACUGUGGAGAGUGUCGAUACUGGGGAUCAGCCCUUGCCCUCCUCCACUUAUGACGCUGGGACACAAUGUUUUUUGAAGCCCCCCCGAUGGUCUCACGGCUCAUUGGCAGCAGUCAAGUUGGAGAACAUAAUGAUGAGGCUGCCUUGCUGAAAGAUGUUCGUCAGCUGUCUCCACAGCACCAGACCUUCUCCCUUGAGGCUUACCACUCCCUCAUCUUGCACUUCGCGCCCAAGCACACAGGGUUUUCAUACCUUGGGAUGUAUAGCAGGCUUCUCUUAGCGGCGCUGCAUUAUAAUCACAAUGCCAAUCGCGAGACAGCACGGAGAAGUGACGGG